CUGCUUCGCCCUUCUUGGGCGUUUCCUCCCUAAACUCAGGCCGCUGUUCGUCAGCGGCCUUUUUUCUGCCAGAA
rnacentral:sRNA from 2 species